CAGAUUCUUGGAAAAUGUCUACACUAUGUAGCAGGGGUGCAUAACUCAGCUGUAUUUCAGUGAAGCCGGAAUCUCUAGCGCCAUGAAGAGAGCAGGCAGACGGAUGGCUCAGUAAGUAGCCUCUGCAGCACAGUGGAGCCAGCGGGAUUUCUGUCACCAGCAUCGCGAGCUGCAAUGUAUUCUCCAGGAUGAAAGCUGCCCAAAAUGAAGCAAAGAGACUAGGGACCAACCUCAACAAAUUUGCAGUAAAUAUUACAAUCAACAGGUGCAUACACUCAAUAUGUACAAUUCCUGGAGAGUGACAUGAAGCCAGCAAAGGACCUUAAAGGAUAAGAAGGUCACAGAAGCCAAGCCAGCAGUGGACACACUCAUGGAAACCAAUCAACAUCCAAAUUAGUAAGGGUCGGGGGCUGCGGUAACGAAGAGACCCAGUAACACAGAGGCUGGAGUCAGCAAGUCUCUCGUCUGUCUCAGGUUCCCCAGAGACGCAGAGCCAAUGAGAAGACAGGCAGACAGGUAGAUGGAUAUAGAGAUACAGACGUACAGGUGUGGAUGUGGUCCCAACUUCAUGGUGGUAGUACCUACAAUUUUCCAACUGAAGGACGGUGCCUGAAUUUCUUCUUCUUUUUCUCUUUUGGGAAUCAAACUCAGGGCCUCGCGCUUGCCUGGCAGAUGUUGCACCGCUGAGCUGCAUCCCUGGCCCCUGAAUUUUUUUUUUUUUUUUAGUACCGGGGAUCAAACUUGGGACCUUGUGCUUGCGAGGCAGGUGGUGGAACCACUGAGCUAAAUCCCCAGCCCUGGCCCCUAAAUUUCUACAUUCAGUAGAAACCAAACUUUGAAUCUUGAUCUCUCCAGGGCUGGCGAUCUUCAGUGCAACCCUUUGGUGGUGCUGAGUGGUGAUGGUGAGUCACAGCUGUCCAUCACAAGGGGCAACCAGCACUGCAGUGUGUCGUGUUGCUGAGAUGCUCACCCAGCUAGGUGAAUCAUGUGCAUUUUUAACUUAAGACAUUUUCAAGUUGCAAUGGGUGAAUUGGUUUACAAUCCCACUGUAAAUCAAGGAACAUGUGUUUUCAAAAGAUAAAGAGUUCUCUUCCUUAUUUGCAGUAUUGUACAAAAUGUUUGGUUAAUUAAAACCACAAAAUGAUACAGGAUCUUUGAGGAUGGUGAAAAUAAUUCUAAGUCUUGAGCCUUGAGCUUUUCCUUAGGGUGCUGAUCCAGCAUGGCUGGAGUGCUGCCACAGCCUGAUCUUAGGGGUCUUGGAGCAGACGCCCCCACUCUGCAUGGACCCAACACAGAAGCAGUUCCUACUGCAGGGCUCCUCACACUCUUGAUGAGGACUUGGCCACAGGGCCGGCUGGAAACUGCAGUCCACUCAGCAGCCUUUGCUUAGCUCCAGAUCUGUUAUCCUGCAAGGGCAAAAUGGAUUUUAUUUGAAGUAAGCGGAUCUCCACCCCCACCUCCCUAGUGAAAAGC
rnacentral:lncRNA from 1 species